UACGGGGGGGGCAAGCGUUGUUCGGAAUUACUGGGCGUAAAGGGCUCGUAGGUGGCCAACUAAGUCAGACGUGAAAUCCCUCGGCUUAACCGGGGAACUGCGUCUGAUACUGGAUGGCUUGAGUUCGGGAGAGGGAUGCGGAAUUCCAGGUGUAGCGGUGAAAUGCGUAGAUAUCUGGAGGAACACCGGUGGCGAAGGCGGCAUCCUGGACCGAUACUGACACUGAGGAGCGAAAGCCAGGGGAGCAAAGCGGG
rnacentral:rRNA from 1 species